rnacentral:rRNA from 1 species
GACGAACGCUGGCGGCGUGCUUAACACAUGCAAGUCGAACGGAAAGGCCCUGCUUUUGUGGGGUGCUCGAGUGGCGAACGGGUGAGUAACACGUGAGUAACCUGCCCUUGACUUUGGGAUAACUUCAGGAAACUGGGGCUAAUACCGGAUAGGAGCUCCUGCUGCAUGGUGGGGGUUGGAAAGUUUCGGCGGUUGGGGAUGGACUCGCGGCUUAUCAGCUUGUUGGUGGGGUAGUGGCUUACCAAGGCUUUGACGGGUAGCCGGCCUGAGAGGGUGACCGGCCACAUUGGGACUGAGAUACGGCCCAGACUCCUACGGGAGGCAGCAGUGGGUAAUAUUGCACAAUGGGCGGAAGCCUGAUGCAGCAACGCCGCGUGCGGGAUGACGGCCUUCGGGUUGUAAACCGCUUUCGCCUGUGACGAAGCGUGAGUGACGGUAAUGGGUAAAGAAGCACCGGCUAACUACGUG